CAAAGGUAGUAGUUGAAGUAUCGGAAUAGAUUGUCAUGGUUCCAGAGUUUGAAUUUUGAGGGCUAUUUGGUGGGUGGUUUUGGAAACAUGGAUUUUGGAAAGAUAUUUGGCUGUGGUGGUUAAUGGGGAGCAGGGAUAACAACGGCUUUUUGUGGUGGAAUUUUGUGUGUUGGUUUUGUGUUUGGUUUUGUAGGAUCAAAAGGGUAGAAACAAGAGUAACCGAUCUGUUAUAGUAACCAGUGUCAAAGUACCCAGAGAACCAGAACCAUCUUGUAACCAUAGUGCCACAGUAGCCAUAGAAACGGAACCAUAGUAACCAUAGUGUCAUAGAACCAUUGCCAUAGUAUCCAUUAGUAACCAGUAACCAAAGUGACCAGUGUUUAGGGUAACAAGUAACCAGGAACGAUCCACAAGGGAUUUGUGUAACCAAGUAACUAGUAACCGGGAACGAUCCACAAGGGAUUUGAGUAACCAAGUAACCAAGAGAACACAGUAACCAUAGUAACCAGAUCGAUCCACAAGGGAUUUGAGUGACCAGGAACAAUAGUAACCAAGAGCACCAGAGGCCAUCCGCAGGGAACAUGAAAGCAGUGAUGCCUCCAUCAACAGAACAUAAAAGAGCUAUGCAAAGAGAAAGAGAACUCGCCAUCCGAACCUUGUAAAGAAAGAACUGCUCCUUUGUGAUUUUCCUUGCUGCUCGCCUGCCUCCUCCCGUUGGUGUUGUUUUUCUUCUGUGUUGUUCUCCUCUCUCAUCCUCUGCCUCCUCUCCUCCUUUUCUUUCUGGCGGAGGUGUU